CUUUAUGUGCACUUUCUUCGUUCUUUUCUUUUUAUGAUAUCGUUUUUAAGAUUCGAAUAUGAUAAAAUGUUGUGCAGAUAAAUGAAUCGUUGGUAGUGGAGAUGCUAAGGACGAAUCAUGUAAAAUGGUGGUAAGAAUCAAAGCUGAUACGUUGGUGAUGGGAUGCCAUGAUUUUGGUUUCUCCAAAAGUUCUAGGAAGUGUGAGUGAUCACUGUGCCAAGCGUGUUAAAUGUGCAGUGGUGAUCGUGAAGCACCAGAAGAAGUUUCUUAUCCCUUCUGCUUCCAUGAAUAUCGUCACAUGGUUUCUGCAACCUUGUGUACUUAUCGUCUACUUGUCGAUUCCAGGAGUAAUAAAUCUACUGAAUUCCACAUAAUGGGCUGUACGACCAAAGUAGUUGAAUAUCAGUAUAUAUUUGCACAAUGUUCCCCUUUCAUCAAUUUUUAUAACAUCUUUUAUAUGAA